rnacentral:rRNA from 1 species
CUACGGGGUGCAGCAGUGGGGGAUAUUGCACAAUGGGGGAAACCCUGAUGCAGCAACGCCGCGUGAAGGAAGACGGUUUUCGGAUUGUAAACUUCUAUCAGCAGGGAAGAAAUUGACGGUACCUGACUAAGAAGCCCCGGCUAACUACGUGCCAGCAGCCGCGGUAAUACGUAGGGGGCAAGCGUUAUCCGGAUUUACUGGGUGUAAAGGGUGCGUAGGCGGUUAUUUAAGUCAGAUGUGAAAGCCCGAGGCUCAACCUCGGGACUGCAUUUGAAACUGGAUAACUAGAGUACAGGAGAGGAAAGCGGAAUUCCUAGUGUAGCGGUGAAAUGCGUAGAUAUUAGGAAGAACACCAGUGGCGAAGGCGGCUUUCUGGACUGUAACUGACGCUGAGGCACGAAAGCGUGGGGAGCGAACAGGAUUAGAUACCCUAGUAGUC